UACGUAGGGGGCAAGCGUUGUCCGGAAUCAUUGGGCGUAAAGCGCGUGUAGGCGGCUUGGUAAGUCUGCUCUGAAAACCCGGGGCUCAACCCCGGGAGGCCGGUGGAUACUGUCGGGCUCGAGUACGGAAGAGGCGAGUGGAAUUCCUGGUGUAGCGGUGAAAUGCGCAGAUAUCAGGAGGAACACCAAUUGCGAAGGCAGCUCGCUGGGACGUUACUGACGCUGAGACGCGAAAGCGUGGGGAGCAAACAGG
rnacentral:rRNA from 1 species